UUCUUUCAAUAUACAGAAAUACUCUACACAGACAAACACACAAGGUGUGUUUACCUGUGUGCUUAAAAGAAAGUCACCAUUUCUCUCCACUGCAAGUCUGAAAACCUCUUUCCAACAUCUACUUGCGUACGUGCUGGCUAUUUCGCUGUUCUGUGUGGGGCCUUUCACAGUCUGCCGUUCUGACUCACCACUGGGGCUUUAAGAAGACUUUAAUACAUAUGAGACACAUUCUGGUUUGUCACAGGCAGAAUAAUGACCUCUAAAGAUGUCCACAUCCUAAGCCCUGGAACCUGGGAAUACGUUACUUUACAAGGCAAAAGGGAUGUUACAGAUGUGAUCAACAAAGGAUGCUGAGAUGCGGAGAUUAUCCUGGAUUAUCUGGGUGGGUUCAAACUAAUCACACGAGCCCUUAAAAGCAGAGAACUCUUCCGAGCUGGGCUCAGGGAGAUGCAGAAGAAGAAAGUCAGAGCGCUGAGGCCUGAGAAGGACAUGACCUGCCAUUGCUGGCUUUGAAGAUGGAAGGAGCCAUGAGCCAGGGAAUGAAGGGGCCUCUAGAAGCCAGGAAUCACCCCUAUCCGAUAGCCAACAAGGGAAUGAGGACCUCAGAUGUCAGCAUGGAACUGAGUUCUGCCAACAACUUACGUGAGUCUGAAGCAGAUUCUCCUCCAGAGCGUUCAUUUAGGAGCUCUGCCGAUACCUUUUACCAGCAGUCAUAUUUAAGUAGUCUCCGAGUUUAUGGAAAACAUCAGCUCUCCUAGUCCCUUCAAAGGAGAAGAAUGUAUCCCAGAUAGUUUGCUGUUUCAAGAAGAUGAGAUGCAUAUGAAGCAGAUCUGAAUUGAACCUAGAACUCCAGCCAGGCCAAACCCAGUCAGUUAAGACUAACUGACCCUGACUCAAUCCACAGAUGCUUGACUAAGAAAAAAAAUGGACUAUUAAACAAUUUAUGGAAAUGAAUAUUGGGGUAUUUUGUUAUGCAGCAACAUCAUGGUACUGAGUAGCUGAUACAACUGCAUUCAGUCCAAAGCUUGAAGUGAAAAGUCUUGGGCUGUAAGAGUCUUCCAGGACAAGGACAUCCAUUGCCCUGAAAUGGUAAAGAAUUACAACUAUAUUUGCACUUCUGCUUUGAUAUCCCUUUUAUCUACACGUAAUACUGCAUGUCCUACAUCUCUUGGACAUUGGAAGAUCUGGUUCCAUGUGAAGAAUUUCCAAGGAGUUUGAAAAAAUGCAUUCUUUUAUUUUUUUUAAUUUUUUAAUUAAUUAAUUUAUUUUUUGUGAGGAGGAUUGGCCCUGAGCUAACAUCUGUUGUCAAUCUUCCUCUUUUUGCUUGAGGAAGAUUGUUGCUGAGCUAACAUCUGUGCCAAUCUUCCUCUAUUUUGUAUGUGGGACACCACCACAGAAUGCCUUGAGAAGUGGUGUGUAGGUCCACACCUGGGAUCCGAACCAGUGAACCCUGGGCCACCGAAGUGGAGCACACGAAUUUAACCACUACACCACUCAGCCAGCCUGAAAAAGUGUAUUCUAACCUGAACUUCUUCUAGGAACUUGUUUCUUCAACCAUGACUCCACAGAAAAUUUGAAUUAGACUCCAUUACACAGAUUUUAUUCAUUUUGUUACAGAAAUGAAAUGGUCAGACAACGCAGAUGUGAUUAAAAUGACAAUGACAUGCCUGUCUGAUUUUCUGCUUGAACUGGACUUAUAAUAACAACUAAUCAAAAUUUCCAGUAUACCCCUUGCCCAACAGUGUCCUGUAACAUAUAUCUCAGUGAAGCAAAUGGAUCAUAAUGGCAUGGAUUUGACAUCGCUGGAUAUUAAGGAAAUGAGAAAUAUACCUGUUUUUCAAACCUACCUGCAAUUGGGAGAUGUGGCUAGAGAUGAAAGUUGGGGACUUAAGAUUAGGAUGUCACUCAUUCUUCACCUUCAGGGACAACCCCAGUUUCAAAUAUCCCGGUCAGUAUUUCAGAUCAUUUGACAGACAAUAUGAUCUGAUUUGGGGGUCAGAAAAUAAGAGCAUGGUGCUUUGAUGGCUUCUUGCAGAUUUUUAACCAUCUAUUCUCCACCCCAAGGGGCCAACAAGUGAGCUGAUUUUUUAAACUCUCUAUAAAAUGUUUUAAGGUGCUUUCCGUGCAGAGACAAUUAAGCCAGAAAGGGACUAACUCUAAAAUAUGCACGUCUCUGAAAGUUGGAUAUAAUUUUUACUUGCAAAAGAACACUCAAAACAUAAAUGGAAAGUAUUCAAUAUAGAGAUCUCAGCUUUUUCAGAAUUGCAAUUUUAAUUGCUAAGAUGAAUGUUGAGGCUGAUUUAGCACUAGAAUCAUAAUUGACUGUAAAUUUUCUCUUGUUUUUACAACCAUUCCUGCAAUACUGAAUACAGUUUCAAAGCUGAAGUGAAGUUUCCCCCUAAGAGUUUGUUAUGGAUUGAAUUGUGUUCCCCAAAAAGACAUUGAAGUCCUAACCCCCAGUACCUGUGGAUGUGACCUUAUUUGGAGAUGGGGUCUUUCAUAUGAUUAAGAUGAAGUUUUUAGGGUGGGCCUUAAUCCAAUAUGACUGAUAGCCUUAGAAAAGGGGGAAUCUGGACACAAAGAAGGCAGACAUUGUGAAGCUAUAGGGAGAAUGCUAUCAACAAGCCGACGCACAGCUGAGGCUAUCAGAAACUAGGAGAGAGGCAUGACACAGAUUGUCCCCAACAGCCCUCAGAAGAAACCAACCCUGCUGCCACCUUGACCUUGGAUCUCUGGCCUCCAGGCUGAGGUUCUUGAUCCAUUCAAACCUACUGAAGUCAACAGUCUCCUUGCUUUUUAAAUUAAAAUUCCACAUGGAAUAUGAAAUGGGCUCCAAAUAUUUCAGGAAUCAAAGUCUAGAAAAAUUAUCAGUAUUGAAAAACAAAACAGCACUUAAUGGGAGUUAUUUAUAUUUCUUCUGGCUCUUUAAAAUACUUUGUCAAAUAUUCAAGACAGAAUCUAAACCAAACAAAUGUUUCUUCUCAGUAUUACAGUGCUGUCAGUUUAGACAGCUGUAAUUGACUCAGAUUUUCAGUGAUGGUGCGAACAAUUUCAAGUCCGUGGGCUAACUCCUUACUCCUGGGCCAGCACUUCGCUCCUGUUUUCUGUGUUUAUUUCACAAUGUCAGGAAACCUCUCUCACUCUUUCUCAGUUCUGCUUUCCCUUCCUCCCUUGUCAAAGCCUCCCCUCAGGACUGCCUCUGUAAUCCUUCAGAUUACACUGUGAGUCAAUGGAAGGCAGUGUGGUAACUCACUCAGGACCAGACUGGGCCUGUUUUUAUAAAUAAAGUUUUACUGUAACACAGCCAAAGUACAUUAACAUGUGACUGCUUUCAAUCUACCUCAGCAAUGCUGGUUGGUUACAACAGAGUCUAUGUUGCUUGCAAGGCUGAAAAUAUUUACUAUCUGG
rnacentral:lncRNA from 1 species